GCCUGGGAUAGCUCGGUUGGUAAAGCAUGAGACUCUUAAUUUCAGGGUCGUGGGUUUGAGCCCUACGUUGGGCA